rnacentral:rRNA from 1 species
UACGAGGGGGGGCAAGCGUUGUUCGGAAUUACUGGGCGUAAAGGGCUCGUAGGCGGCCAACUAAGUCAUACGUGAAAUCCCCCGGCUUAACCGGGGAACUGCGUCUGAUACUGGAUGGCUUGAGUUCGGGAGAGGGAUGCGGAAUUCCAGGUGUAGCGGUGAAAUGCGUAGAUAUCUGGAGGAACACCGGUGGCGAAGGCGGCAUCCUGGACCGAUACUGACGCUGAGGAGCGAAAGCCAGGGGAGCAAACGGG